rnacentral:rRNA from 1 species
UAAAACGUAGGAGGCGAGCGUUAUCCGGAGUUACUGGGCGUAAAGCGCGUGUAGGUGGCACGCUACGUCUGCUGUGAAAGCUCCCGGCUUAACCGGGAAGAUGCGGCAGAUACGGGCGAGCUAGAGGGUGACAGAGGAGCGUAGAAUUCCGGGUGUAGUGGUGAAAUGCGUAGAGAUCCGGAGGAAUACCAGUGGCGCAAGCGGCGCUCUGGGUCGAGCCUGACACUGAGACGCGAAGGCAUGGGGAGCGAACGGGAUUAGAAACCCCGGUAGUCCAUGCAGUAAACGAUGCAGACUGGGUGUGGGAGGCGCAAGCCUUCUGUGCCGAAGCCAACGCGCUAAGUCUGCCGCCUGGGAAGUACGGUCGCAAGACUA